AUGUAUGCGGUAGUUCAUUUUACCGAGUCAAACGAGGUGGAGGUUGUGCCUUGCUCGUGGCUAAGUUUGGACGGCAAGGUGUCUUUUUGGCCACCGUAUAAAGACACCAAGCGGACGAAAAUUGCAGUCAUCCAAAGCGCUAUGCCAGAUGAGACCUGGGGAGAGUUUUUUGUGGAGGUGGUGAAAACCUUUGCCAAUUAUGAUGCAGCGCGUAUGAACCUGAAAAAAGCCCAAACCAGGAGCACCCUGACAUCAGAUGAUGAAGGGGGUAAAAGAAGGAGAAUCCCUUCCUCAAAGCUGAAAGAAACUGUGCCUGCAGAUGAGGGGGAGAAGCAUACAAGGGCUAAGAAAAAAGAAAAAAAAAGGAGUCCUCCACAAGCCCCUGCUUUCCCCACCGGCUUUUAGAUCAUCACAGCAGGACAUACAUAAAGUUGCUGCCCACACAUCAGCUGCUCUUGAACAGGCCUCUGCCCAGAUCUCUGGCAACAUUCAAAGUCAAUUCGAACGGGAUCAUGCACUCCUGCGUGCUGUGGAGGAGUUGAAGGCCUUGGUGAGGCAGAACAACCUCCUCCUCCAGGCCCUUACUAGGCAAAAAACUACAGCAGCAGCAGCAGCAGACACUCUAUCUGAGGAAUUUAAGUUCCCAAUGAACUGUGAGGAAGACCUUCAAAGGGUGGAGGAUCUUCUGAGGGAGAAAUCCCAGGAAAAGGCCCUGGCAGCACACCUUAGUGCGCUUGGGGGCUGCAAUCCUGGUGACGCGGUUCGAAGAAUCCUUCGCCACAUCCUCACCAACCACUUUGCGCUGAAAUUCAACUGGCUUGGCAGAGGAGGGAAGAAGCUGGCUUUUGCCUCCUACAAGGUGUGCAAUGCAGUAAGAGGUGCAUCGGCUAGCCAGAACAUUUUGGCCAGCGACUGCGAGGCAGUUAUUAAAAACUGGCUGAAGUGCAGCGGUGACCGGAGUGGAGGAAGAAAGAGGAGAGAAAGCAGAGUGCAUGAAGGUCCCCAGCAGUUCAGUCUUCCUCCUCCGAGUCCUUCCCCGGUCAUCCUGGAUCAUGAUACAACUAGCAGCGACAGUGACGACGACUGCAGCAGCCUGGAGUGACCCGCCUUCCGCCUGCACACCGACUCGGAUUUUAAUUCAUUUUUAAUUAAUUUAUUCUUCAUCUUAUUAUUAUUAUUAUUAUCAUUAUCAUUACAAGUAUUUAAUAAGUAUUUAAUAAAUGUUCACACUUUCCGGUUUAAUUCCAUGAUGUUUGAAUGGUUUUUGAACUCAAAACUCUUGUUGCUAGGUUUAAUUAAAAGGAAAUUCAAAUUAUUUGGUAAAGGCAAAUUAAUACAAUUUGGCUACCUUAAUUAUAAGUUGGCAAUUGGCUAUAAGCCAACGGAGGCCAUCUGGGGAUAAUGAACGUUGGUCAAACGGUGGCCCUACGGCCGAAAUGACGCGGUUACGUCGCUAUGCCAACGGUGUGCCAACGUUAGGCCAGCGGCCAAAAUGUCGUAGGGCCAGCGUUGGCUCACACCGUCAGGCCAACGAUAUGCGGCGUUGGCUCACAACGUUUUGCCAACGUAGGGCCAACGUAUGCUUGCUAUCUGGGCUCUUUCUUCCCAUAUCUGCGGUAUAAUAUUCUUUCCCAUCAGUGUUUUGCACCUCAUUAGACCAACCUGUUGAUCUUUAUCCCUACAAACAAUCAUCAAUUUUCCAUCCCUUAAGGUGCGGCCACACCAGACGCGUAUCUCGCGUACUUCGCGUAUGAAAUCGCCAUUUUCUCCAUAGGGAACCAUUGGUUUAGGCGCGUAUUACGCGUAUUUCGCGUAUUAAGCAACAUUUUACGCGUGUAUAGCGCGUAUAUUUACGCGCAAUACGCGCUAUACGCGCUAUACGCGCGUAUAUCGCGUAUAUCGCGUACAUUUCAAAAGAGUUCAAAAAAUUGAACUUUUUACGCGAAGUACGCGAGAUACGCGUCUGACGAGACACGCAUUGCCCAAUCAGCGUUGAGCUUGACCCGACGUCACUGGCAGAGAGUAGUGAGCUUGGACAGAAGCAUACGGCCGACAUCUUCCUUUUUUCUGUGUGGAAAUAGUAACAUAGUUACGCCAUUAAAUGCUUUUAUGGAAACAUUUCUAGCGAGAAAUGUGCAUUUUACUUUCAUAAUGUUCACUCGGUGAAUGUGAAGGAUGUUUGGUUUGAUAGUUAUGACGAAGAGGGAACGCUCCGUUCACUUGCAUGGACAGAGUCUCUGGUUACUAAGCAACCUCAACGUCUUGGCGGACUAUUUCUCUGCUGGGAAACACACCAGACACACCAUGUGAAGUUAUUUAACCCGAUUAUUGUUAUUUAUAUCCGAGAUUAUUUAAUCUAACCCGAUCUAAACUCUAUCAACCAAACACGGCGGCGUUGGGGUUUCCUACCUCGGACUCCAGCGCAGCCACGGCCGACAACUUCCUUUAUUCUGGGUGGAAAUAGUAACAUAGUUACGCCAUUAAAUGCGUUUAUGGAAACAUUUUUAGCGAGAAAUGUGCAUUUUACUUUCGUAAUGUUCGCUCGGUGAAUGUGAAGGAUGUUUGGUUUGAUAGUUAUGAGGAAGAGGGAACGCUCCGUUCACUUGCAUGGACAUGGACUCAUCUAGGCGAGUGACGUAGGCGCGUAUAGCGCGUAUUGCGCGUAUGCGACCAUUUUUGACACAAAAUGGUCAAGCAACAUUUUACGCGCGUAUCUCGCGUAAAAAGUACGCGAGAUACGCGUCUGGUGUGGCCGCACCAUUAGUGUUCUAACAGCAUGCAACUCACCUACUAGUUUAUACACAGCAUCACUAAUUUUUAAAGGAUUCAAUGCACCCGGAGUUUGGAAUCGAAUGAUAACCUUUAUUUCAUUCGGUUUGCCUUCAUCCCCUUUGUUUUCACGUGUUUUCCUUUUCUCACACCCGAGUCUCUUCUUCUUCUUCUAUUUGGUUUUAUUGGCGGUUGGCAAACAAACAUGCGCAUUACCCCCACCUACUGGUUUCUUUAUGCAUCUUUAUAUUUACUAUUGUAUCCCUGAGUUACCCGGAUUUCAUAUUUUCUUUAUCAAAUUUGUUUCUUUUAAAUAUCCAAAUACGUGCCUAUAGCAUCUAUCUCCUGACAUUUUCCUUAAUAUAUUCUCUAACUCAUAUCUUUC
rnacentral:lncRNA from 1 species